rnacentral:rRNA from 1 species
UGGGGAAUUUUGGACAAUGGGGGCAACCCUGAUCCAGCAAUGCCGCGCGUGUGUAGAAGGCCUUCGGGUUGUAAAGCACUCUUGUCCGGAAAGAAAACCUCGGGGCUAAUACCCCUGGAGGAUGACGGUAUAGGAAGAAUAAGCACCGGCUAACUAUGUGCCAGCAGCCGCGGUAAUACGCAGGGUGCGCGCGCUAUUCGGAAUUACUGGGCGUAAAGCGUGCGCAGGCGGUGCUGUAAGACCGAUGUGAAAUCCCCGGGCUUAACCGGGAAACUGCAUUGGUGACUGCAGCGCUUGAAUAGGGGAGAGGGGGAUGGAAUUCCACGUGUAGCAGUGAAAUGCGUAGAGAAGUGGAGGAACACCGAAGGCGGAGCCAGCCCCCUGAGCCAAUACUGACGCUCAUGCACGAAAGCGUGGGGAGCAAACAGG